rnacentral:rRNA from 1 species
UACGGAAGGCAGCAGUGGGGAAUAUUGCACAAUGGGCGAAAGCCUGAUGCAGCUAUGCCGCGUGUAUGAAGAAGGCCUUAGGGUUGUAAAGUACUUUCAUCGGGGAGGAAAAAACAAAACUAAUAAUUUUAUUUCUUGACGUUACCCGAAAAAGAAGCACCGGCUAACUCCGUGCCAGCAGCCGCGGUAAUACGGAGGGUGCUAGCGUUAAUCAGAAUUACUGGGCGUAAAGAGCACGUAGGUGGUUUUUUUAAGUCAGAUGUGAAAUCCCUGGGCUUAACCUAGGAACUGCAUUUUGAAACUGAAAUACUAGAGUAUCGUAGAGGGAGGUAGAAUUCUAGGUGUAGCGGUGAAAUGCGUAGAUAUCUGGAGGAAUACCUGUGGCGAAAGCGGCCUCCUAAACGAAUACUGACACUGAGGGUGCGAAAGCGUGGGGAGCAAACAGGGAUUUAGAUACC